GAUGAACGCUAGCUACAGGCUUAACACAUGCAAGUCGCGGGGCAGCAUGGGGGUUGCUUGCAAUCCCCGAUGGCGACCGGCGCACGGGUGAGUAACGCGUAUCCAACCUGCCCUUCACCACGGGAUAACCCGGCGAAAGUCGGACUAAUACCGUAUGUUGUCCAUUGACGGCCUCCGAUUUGGACGAAAGGCUUGGCGGUGAGGGAUGGGGAUGCGUCCGAUUAGCCAGACGGCGGGGUAACGGCCCACCGUGGCUACGAUCGGUAGGGGUUCUGAGAGGAAGGUCCCCCACACUGGAACUGAGACACGGUCCAGACUCCUACGGGAGGCAGCAGUGAGGAAUAUUGGUCAAUGGGCGUAAGCCUGAACCAGCCAAGUAGCGUGCAGGAUGACGGCCCUAUGGGUUGUAAACUGCUUUUAUGCGGGGAUAAAGUGGCCCACGGGUGGGCUUUUGCAGGUACCGCAUGAAUAAGGACCGGCUAAUUCCGUG
rnacentral:rRNA from 1 species